rfam:Erwinia iniecta strain B120 contig000002, whole genome shotgun sequence.
GGGUGCCUGAGGCUGUUUGCUGCAGGCAUUAUUCAGGAGCAGACAGAAGAAGGCCCCAGGUCAAUUUUCAUUAACCUGAGGCCACUCCUGCACAACCACAAUGUCAGGAUAGCCUCUUAACAGCAGAUUUGCAAUGGAGGUUAAGAUG